rnacentral:rRNA from 1 species
UACGUAGGCAGCGAGCGUUGUUCGGAGUUACUGGGCGUAAAGGGUGUGUAGGCGGUUGUUUAAGUUUGGUGUGAAAUCUCCCGGCUCAACUGGGAGGGUGCGCCGAAUACUGAAUGACUAGAGUGCGGGAGAGGAAAGUGGAAUUCCUGGUGUAGCGGUGAAAUGCGUAGAUAUCAGGAGGAACACCGGUGGUGUAGACGGCUUUCGUUGGACCGUAACUGACGCUGAGACACGAAAGACGUGGGUAGCAAACAGG